rnacentral:lncRNA from 1 species
AUGCAGGCCUGUGUUACUGAGCGCACGCUGGAAAUGUGCCCACAUUUGAAGAUGAACAAAACAAAAGAAGAAGAAGAAGAAGAAGAAGAAGAAGAAGAAGAAGAAGAAGAAGAAGAAGAAGAAGAAGAAAGAAGAAGAAGAAAAAGAAGAAGAAGAAGAAGAAGAAGAAGAAGAAGAAGAAGAAGAAGAAGAAGAAGAAGAAGAAGAAGAAGAAGAAGAAGAAGAAAAAGAAAGAAAGAAAGAAAGAAAGAAAGAAAGAAAGAAAGAAAGAAAGAAAGAAAGAAAGAAAGAAAGAAAGAAAAGAGAUUCCUGUCUGUGUCUGUGCCUGGCUUCUUGAGAAUUAGCCCCAGACCCUGGACCCCACAGACUGCAGUUUGUGGCGACUUUGAUGGGCAGCCUCAGAAGCACAGGAGGGAGGCCUGGGGAAAUGUGUUCUUGCCUUUGGAGCAUCUGGUGGAGAAGCAUCAAGCCCGGCCCUCGGGGCAGCCACGGGCCGUGGAGGGGAUGGGGCGGGGCGGGGGUCCUGGUAGGGCAGGGAGGGGGGCCUGGGCAGGAGCCCCCAGGGGAGGCAAUCCUCUGCACCUCUCAGCCCCUCAGAGGAAGGGUCCCAGCCCCAGGCACCCCCCACCCGAGGCAGCACACAGGGCAGGACUGACUGCCCCACUCCCAGAGUUUCUACCCUACAGGGGAGCGUGGGGCCCAAGGUCCUGUAGGUCUAACCAGUUCCUGAGGCCAGUGUGGCCGUCUAGGGCCGAAGCUUGGGUCUCACCUGUGAGCCUACCCCGCGGCUCCCCAGCCACCCAGAGAAAGGCCAUAGUCACUCGGGCAGUUGUUUGGGGAGUGGGGGAGUGGGAAUUCUGGGGCCUCCUGCCCCCCAACCUGCUCUUUGCCUGCAUGGGGUGCGUGGAAAGCCCAGCUGCUCCACCAGGUGCAGGACUAGGGCCCCAGCUUCUCAGACUGUGUCCUCCCUCAGCCUCAGAGCCGCACCCCCACACACACAACCACACAUGCACACCACACGCACAUGCACACUGCUUCCCCAACCUCUCGCUCACUCCACCCCCAGCCUGCCUCCCUCGGGCUGCAUGGCUUUUCCCUCUUAGAAGGUUCAUGCAUUUGGGGAGGAGGGAAGUAUGGGUUUCGGUGGGGGUGUGUGUAUACACUGACGUGGUCGCAGCCUGGUGGGCAACCACCCCAAGUCCCCAGCAUGACACCCUGCACAUAAUCCUAGCAAAGGUCAAUAUUGCAGGCAAGGUCACACUUGUCCCCUCAAGAGUAGUGUGUCCCCCAGACACACAGAGAGGAAACCCCACAUCUCCCCCUGGCAUGCCUGCCAAAAGAUGCCCCUGGUGGACAAAGCAGUCCCUGGAGGCCAGUGGCCUUGACUCCGGGACAUGGGGCAGACACUUCAGGCCUCACCUGCCGCACCUUCCCAGGACCACCGUGUCCCCUACGCAGAGAAACAGACUCCAUUUGUUCUGA